GCUGACGCUGAACAUUCCCGAGGUCCCCGUUUUACAGGCGCGGAAAUUGAGUUCCGGGAAAGGCAGGGCCCGGAAUGACUCUGCUUCCGACGGGAAUUUKUGAGUGGGGCCACAUCAAGUCGGGAGAUGCAGCUGGGAAUGAAACCCCAGGAACAGCUGGAAGUUCAUCCCUGUCAAUCUGGGCUGCUGCUGCCCAGGUGCCUUUCGGCCGGCAGUGAUGGCCUCAGACGCCCGAGACUGCUCCAGGACGCUUGGCYGCAGCAAGCCAGGGGUGCAUCCCAGACGACCCCAACUCUCUG
rnacentral:lncRNA from 1 species